rnacentral:rRNA from 1 species
UGGGGAAUAUUGCACAAUGGGGGAAACCCUGAUGCAAGCGACGCCGCGUGAAGGAAGAAGUAUCUCGGUAUGUAAACUUCUAUCAGCAGGGAAGAUAGUGACGGUACCUGACUAAGAAGCCCCGGCUAACUACGUGCC